AUUGAACGCUGGCGGCAUGCCUUACACGUGCAAGUCGAACGGCAGCACGGGGCAACCUGGUGGCGAGUGGCGAGCGGGUGAGUAAUGCAUCGGAACGUACCUUUCAGUGGGGGAUAACGUAGCGAAAGUUACGCUAAUACCGCAUAUUCUGUGAGCAGGAAAGCAGGGGAUCGCAAGACCUUGCGCUGAUUGAGCGGCCGAUGUCGGAUUAGCUAGUUGGUGAGGUAAAGGCUCACCAAGGCGACGAUCUGUAGCGGGUCUGAGAGGAUGAUCCGCCACACUGGAACUGAGACACGGUCCAGACGCCUACGGGAGGCAGCAGUGGGGAAUUGUGGACAAUGGGGGCAACCCUGAUCCAGCCAUGCCGCGUGAGUGAAGAAGGCCUUCGGGUUGUAAAGCUCUUUCGGCCGGGAAGAAAUCGCACGGGCUAAUACCCUGUGUGGAUGACGGUACCGGAAUAAGAAGCACCGGCUAACUACGUGCCAGCAGCCGCGGUAAGAC
rnacentral:rRNA from 1 species